UCAUAAUCAAAGAAAAUUUGC
rnacentral:piRNA from 1 species